GAGUAACACGUGAAUCAUCUACCUCCGAGUGGGGAAUAACCUAGAGAAAUCUGGGCUAAUACCGCAUAACACUUACGAGUCAAAGCAGCAAUGCGCUUGGAGAGGAGUUCGCGGCCGAUUAGUUAGUUGGCGGGGUAAUGGCCCACCAAGACGAUGAUCGGUAUCCGGCCUGAUAGGGCGCACGGACACACUGGAACUGAAACACGGUCCAGACUCCUACGGGAGGCAACAGUGGGGAAUUUUGCGCAAUGGGGGAAACCCUGACGCAGCAACGCCGCGUGGAGGAUGAAAUCCCUUGGGAUGUAAACUCCUUUCGAUCGGGACGAUUAUGACGGUACCGGAAGAAGAAGCCCCGGCUAACUUCGUGCCAGCAGCCGCGGUAAUACGAGGGGGGCAAGCGUUGUUCGGAAUUAUUGGGCGUAAAGGGCGCGUAGGCGGUGCGGUAAGUCACCUGUGAAAUCUCCCGGCUCAACUGGGAGCUUGCAGGCGAAACUGCCGUGCUGGAGUGUGGGAGAGGUGCGUGGAAUUCCCGGUGUAUCGGUGAAAUGC
rnacentral:rRNA from 1 species